CCUACGGGGGGCAGCAGUGGGGAAUAUUGGACAAUGGGGGCAACCCUGAUCCAGCGAUGCCGCGUGUGUGAAGAAGGCCUGAGGGUUGUAAAGCACUUUAGUUGGGGAGGAAAGUCUCUUGUCGAAUAGGCAAGAGAGAAGACGUUACCCAAAGAAUAAGCACCGGCGAACUCUGUGCCAGCAGCCGCGGUAAUACAGAGGGUGCAAGCGUUAAUCGGAAUGACUGGGCGUAAAGGGCACGUAGGCGGCUAGAUGUGUUAUAGGUGAAAUCCCCGGGCUUAACCUGGGAACUGCCUAUAAAACUGUUUGGCUAGAAUAUAGGAGAGGUAAGUGGAAUUUCCGGUGUAGCGGUGAAAUGCGUAGAUAUCGGAAAGAACACCAGUGGCGAAGGCGACUUACUGGUCUAAUAUUGACGCUGAGGUGCGAAAGCGUGGGGAGCAAACGGGAUUAGAUACCCCGGUAGUCCACGCUGUAAACGAUGAGAACUAGAUGCUUGUUGACUAAGGUUAAUGAGUAUUGAAGCAAACGCGUUAAGUUCUCCNCCUGGGGAGUACNGCCNCNAGGUUNAAACUCAAAGGAAUNGACGGGGGCCCNCCCNAGCGGUGGANCAUGUGGUUUANUUCNAUGCACNCGAAAACCUUACCUACCCUUGACAUGUCAGGAAUCCUGCAAAAUNCNGGAAUNCCCCCNAGGAACCU
rnacentral:rRNA from 1 species